CAACUGUCGAUUUCCAUACUCACCAGAAAGAAUUGCCCAACUACCUAGGGCAAUGAUUUUGUUUGUUUUGUUCAUUGGUGCUCCUAGAACAGUGCCUGAUACUCAGUAGAUGAUCAAAAAAUAAUCGGAGGUCCCAGGAGGCAAUAGUCAUACAUUGUUACUCCAGCCUUCACAAAGGCAAAACAGUACAGAGCCCUGUCCUGUAAUAGACAACAUGGGACACACACACAAUUUCAGUUCCUGUUACGUUGACAAGACUCCUUCAGGUAAAAAAUGAAAACAUUCUUUUAUCAUUAUAAGGUUAGUGACCAUUUUAAUAGAAUAAAAGGAUUAUUUCUGCUACAUUGAGGAUAGAAAGUUUAGGGUGUGAAUAUGUAGUAAAGAUGUCUUUUCCUUUUAUGCUUGUGCUCAUAAGCUCUCUUAGAGCUUAUUUACUUGAAAUAAAGCUAUCUCCAUAAUUUCGAUAUUUAUGAAUAAAGCCAAUGAGGACACAGAUCAUAUAGAGAGCCUGUCCAAAUAAUUCAAUGUACAUUUUUUGAAACAUCAAAAGGAGGUAGGUAGGUGAUUUUUCACAGGCCGAGAGGUUUUACCUUUGAACAUCAACAAUAUAGCAUUACUUAUAUUUGCUUCACCAUGGUGACGGAAGAGAAAUUCUACAUUUAGUUUACUCACCUUGCAGUAAUGAUAUGUAACAUUUUUUAAAUAAAUAGGAGUUUCAAAAUUAAUUUUCAUGCCUAAUAUGCACAGUUUAUGUGGGGAAAGACCAUGAAGGUCACCCAAAUAUUCACACUUGUAAAUUAUGGAAGAGAGACAGAAGAGAAAGUCCAAGAAAUAUAAUCUCUAAAGUUUUCAAAGUGCUUUCAAAUAAUUAAUUACUUUAGAUUUUAUACUUUGAUAACAUUUUCUGCUUAAACAAACCAUCCCUCUUUUGAGAGGGAGCCUUUUAAAAGAGAAAAAUAAAUCAACAUAGGUGAUUACAAUAUUUGUUUAACUAAACAACAACCCUUCCAUUCUGCUACAAAAUAAAUACGGCACAAGUAAACUGUAUUUCAUAAAAGUGUAAAAUGUAUAGGUGGGCGUUUCAUAUGGUCAGAUAUAAAAUUUAUUUAAGUUAUGUUUUACAAGGAAGAUUAUACAGCAUUUUCAUAUUGAUUUUUAAUGAUUUCUUGCAAAUAUUCAUGUAUUGCUUGCCAAACCAUGUCUAGGAAUUAAGAAGAAAAGAUUAUUUAACCCAAAGAGUUAGUUGUUCUUUCUUGGCUUAAAUGGGAUAAAUUCUGAUUUCAUCGAGGGGAAUGCAUUAUGAUAAUUUCUAAAAUAUAACCAUGCUUUUAGUGUUUUAUGUCUGUGCCAGCAGCUAAAACAUUUCAUUUUAAAAUAACUGUGUAUGCACUUUGCACACUGUACUUUAGCCAAUUUGACAAGGAGUGAUAUUAAAAAAUAAAUAAAUAAAUGAAAUAACUGUGUAUUUUUAAAAGUCAAAUAUACUAUCUGCUGCCAUAGUGUUGUAAUUUGAUAGGGAAGCAAUACUUUUUUCUGCAAAGUUUUACAACAAAACGUCAUCAAUGUAGGAAAUCUGUGCAAACGACUAAAAUACAUUUUAUUAAAUUGGCAAUGUAAUUUUUUCAUUAUAGCUAUGCAUAUAACUCUUAAAAAUUAGGUGGACAUUUUCGAUAUGGUUAUCUUAAAUGUUACGUGUGUCUUUCUAAAAACUUUUAGUUCCUUCUUCUUUUCGCUUUAAGGGUGCUCUGGCAUGUGGCUAGCACAAAGCAUCCCCGACCUGUUUCUGAAUCUCAAGUGUGCCACGGGAGAUUCCAAACGGAAUUAAAAGAUCACUCAAAGUCUUUGACACAA